rnacentral:lncRNA from 1 species
AUAUCUUAAUAUAUACUAUACAAAUAACUUAAUAAUUUAAGUUACUUGUAUAGCUCAGGUAGCGUUAUCUGGACGAAAUGUUAAUGUUGGACGAAAUAUGUGAAAUUAGCUUAAACCAUCUUACACGAGUUGUAACAAAAGUUUCGGUCACAAGUAUGUAAUCAAAAAUUAAAUUCCGAGUGAUAUAUACCUUGACUUGGAGGUUUAUAUAUAAUAUUGAACUUCUUCAUGGAAUUUUAAGAGAAUUGCUAGAUCAUUUCACAAGAAUUUUAAUAAUUUUCUAUAACCCUAGCUAGUGUUCUUCAAACGAUGCCUCAAAGCAAAAUUCCUAUCGUUGAUUAAAAAUUCAUGUUGGCAUUCUUGGUGAUUGGUCUAUGGAUUGAAUCGUGCCUUUAUACGUAAAUAAAAUUUUAUUCAAAAAAUAGAUUAUUUAAAUGGCACUCUAAAAAAGUUACUGCAAUCUCGAGGAAGAAGAUUCUGGACUAGAGUAAAGUGAUGCAGUUUCUCCAGUAGCUGCACUAAAAAGCGGGCUAAGCAGGUUUUCAUAAUCCAUAAGUGAUUCAAUUGCCUUUGUUCUUUCCGCAUUUAUGUUUUUUGGAGGAAAUAAGUCAUACUGAGCAUUAGAAUAAUAAUUGAGACCGGUCAUUUUUAAACAAAGAUUUUAAUGUAAAGAGAAAACCAAUAACAUUUUGUUAAGACACAAGUUAAGCUCUAUUAAAGAUUAUUAUAACGUCACGUAACAAAAAUUUAUGUUUAAUUAAUUUUGGGAUACCCUGUUCACAAUACCAGUUAAUAAAAAAAUUGUAUUCGAAUAAAAUACGUCAGUAAUCAAUAAAUAUUGUAUUAUCAAGAUGGAUAGAGAGGUUACAGGAAUUUGACUUUAACACUGAAUAUCGAGGACGGCAAAUUUAUGAAAAUGCGGAUACUCUAUCCAGAGGACUGCAAGCAUGGUCAACGAGCAGAGGAGAGAGAUGCUAAGUUAUUAAGAACCACCAUCGUCGAUAAUACUUGGCUAAUGGGGAUGGAACAGAGGAAACCAAAGAUGAAGCACGAUCGCUAGAUGUAAUGCUAUUAGGAAUAAGUUGGCAAUAUGCAGCAGAUGCCUUAUUAUGGAAAAAUUGGGAAUAAAAUGUCCAUGUGAACUCUUAUGUAGCAUACCUAGCAGGAAGCCUAAAUUUGUUGUAUUUAGGAGUGGUUGGUCUGUUAAGCACAAAGUGGAUUUAGACAAUUCAGUGAGAGAUUUAAAGUGGACUGUAUUUGUAUGAUUAAAAGUAAAUGGGGAAAGGUCGAAAAACCAGCCUUUAAAGAUCCUUACCUUAAGGUGUCUGUAUCCAGCUUCAGCAGGCCUGCUUUGGACUUAUUGGGUCUUCUAAUUCGGAUUGAAUCACUAAGAGUGGUUGCGGGUUUGAUAAGUAAAUCACGAUCUGUGAUGCGGUAAGAUUAAGACAACAGUUGCGGAAAUAAACGUAUAGAUCACGACACUGGAAUCAAUGCGCGAUGAUAAAAUGCUAACAAGGAAAUCGUCUUCUCUCUGGUGUCCGUUCAGACAAACCAAAGGAAUUUAGAAAUUUAAAGGCUAUCGUACACGCGCAGAUUUGUGGUUGUUAAGACUUAAUAUAAAAAUAUUAAUUAAAUUGGUUAUAAUAAAAGGAGAAAAUUAAAUUAAAUGAAAUGGUAGUUUUAAUUUGGAGAGAAAAACAAAGAAAUAUUAUAAAAAGAAAAAAUUUAAACUAUUUGGACGUUCACAAACUAAAUGUGGACGGACCAAGGAGUUUUAAAUAUUUUGAUUUUGAGGCGUUUAACUCUGACUUGAUUAACACUGGCUGGGGACAGAUUUUUCGAUCUUGCUUGUAUAAAUGAAAAAGCACAGUUUAUGACAGACAAAAUAUUGACGUUAUUUAAUUUUCACGCACCUAUUCAAAAGGUAUGUGUGACAAAACCAAAGGCACCAUGGUUUACGGAUGUAUUAAAAAUUAUGAA